UACGGAGGGUGCGAGCGUUAAUCGGAAUUACUGGGCGUAAAGCGCACGCAGGCGGUUUGUUAAGCUAGAUGUGAAAGCCCCGGGCUCAGCCUGGGAUGGUCAUUUAGAACUGGCAGACUAGAGUCUUGGAGAGGGGAGUGGAAUUCCAGGUGUAGCGGUGAAAUGCGUAGAUAUCUGGAGGAACAUCAGUGGCGAAGGCGACUCCCUGGCCAAAGACUGACGCUCAUGUGCGAAAGUGUGGGUAGCGAACAGC
rnacentral:rRNA from 1 species